rnacentral:tRNA from 2 species
GCCGGAGUGGCGGAACGGCAGACGCAGCGGACUCAAAAUCCGCCGGGGCAACCCAUGGGAGUUCGAAUCUCCCCUUCGGCACCA